rnacentral:rRNA from 1 species
UACAGAGGGUGCGAGCGUUGUUCGGAAUUAUUGGGCGUAAAGGGCGCGUAGGCGGUGCGGUAAGUCACCUGUGAAAUCUCCUGGCUCAACUGGGAGCUUGCAGGCGAAACUGCCGUGCUGGAGUGUGGGAGAGGUGCGUGGAAUUCCUGGUGUAGCGGUGAAAUGCGUAGAGAUCGGGAGGAACACCUGCGGCGAAAGCGGCUCACUGGACCAUAACUGACGCUGAUGCACGAAAGCUAGGGGAGCAAACAGG